GGAGUCUGGGCCGUAUCUCAGUCCCAAUGUGGCCGUUCAACCUCUCAGUCCGGCUACUGAUCGUCGGCUUGGUGGGCCGUUACCCCACCAACUACCUAAUCAGACGCGAGGCCAUCUCAGAGCGAUAAAUCUUUGGUAUCCCUACCAUGCGAUAAAGAUACGUUAUGCGGUAUUAGCACCCCUUUCGGGAUGUUGUCCCCGUCUGAAGGGCAGGUUGCCUACGCGUUACUCACCCGUUCGCCACUAGGGUUCUACCGAAGCAAAACCCCCGUUCGACUUGCAUGUGUUAGGCACGCCGCCAGCGUUCGUCCUGAGCCACGGAUCAAACUACU
rnacentral:rRNA from 1 species